UUUUCUGUUUCUUGUAUGCUACUUGUCCUUGCUUUCACCCUCUGUAGACUUCUUUUUUACGUUUGAGCUUGUCCAGGAGCUCUUUGUUCAUCUAUGCAGGC